rfam:Tursiops truncatus cont1.129461, whole genome shotgun sequence.
GUUCAAUUUUGCUGUGAACCUCUAACUGCUCCCCAAAAUAAGUUUGUUAUUUUUUUAAAAAAGGAGGAAGAAAAGAACUGAGCAUUAUUCUCUUUGACAAAAGGUAAAAUGACAAGGACUAUCAGGCUGACCUCCCUUCCCCAGGAAAUGAAAGAAGUCACAC